AGUUCAUUUGGGAAGGAUUGGUGCCGAAAGAUGCAGCGAAAAUCAUUAAGUGUUAAUAGAAAAAUGGUAAAGUUAAUCGUGACAGAUGUCAACGCAGGCGUAAAUGCCAUUUGUUUAUUACAUGAUCUACGGCUAUUUCAUUACCAAAGCUCCUGAUAACAGAUCAAAGCAGGUGAAUCGGGCUUACAGUGUCGCCGUUUAACUUAAAAUAUCUUCGUGAUUGGAAAACGCAUCAAACAGCAAGUGUUUUUCUUCCAACAGCACGCGCCAUCGGUGGAGCAAGCAGCCAACGUUUUGUUCGCCCA